UCCCCGCCGGAAGCGGCGGCGCGGGCGCUCCGGGGCGGGAAGGCGGCGGCGGCCCGUCGGAGGGGCCGGGCGCCAUUUUGACCCGGGGCUGGCGAGGCGCUGCCUCCCCCACGCCGUUUUGAUGGGCCGGCCAGCCCGGUGUAGGGUGCCUUUGGGGGGCUGGUGACUGAAUGGUGCCCGCCGGUGGCGGCAGCUUCUCGUGGCUGGGGCUGAGAGCGGCCCCUCGCCGGGGCGACGCAGCCUUGCGCUUCGCUUGGCGGAACGAGCGCUUCGGCGGCUGGCUAGGGCUGGUGUGAUGGAGACAAAGUUUUCAGUGGUGUCCAAUACAUUGUACGGAAGCAUUAAGUCCUUCAUGGAACCACCGUCAGAAGUAGAAGACGACUUGGUACACACAAGUGGAUUUUCCUGAGUGCUAAAUUUCUAGAAUGGCAUGAACACUUUCUAAUGAUGGGAAUGCCAGGUGUCCUGAUGAAAGAUUUCCUGGCAACUGUAGUACAACAGAUAGAGGAAGAUGGUCAAAAAUGCAGGAACAAAUGCAUUUAAGCUUAUUCAGUGGUGAGCUGGGACACUCAGUGCUGCCUGACAAAUGUGGAUGAUCUGUAACUGGAAGGAAGUGUAACACCUGAAGAGUCUUUGUGGCUUGGAGUGGGAUGCCAUGCUUUUAAAAGCCUGCUGAAACAGCUGCUGCAAUUUUGUUUAGCGGAUAUUGUUUUCAGAAACUGCCUGUGAAGCAAAAUCACAGUGUGCAUGUUUAAAAUAGCACUUUCCCCAAAACAUUGAGCUGCCCUCUGUAGGAAGGAUAGCAGCAAUAUUAGGGAAAUGGGUAUUGAGCUUCAAUAUGUGGAAAAACCCCUGAGAGUAUUUGCCCUUUUAAAAUGUCAUAAGGGUGUAUGGACUUGUUGACACUGAAGGUCUGUAAUAACUCACAGUGGAAUUCACAGGUAGGCCCUGUGAAGACAGGGAAAAAACAAAAUGGGUACACAAAUUUAAACCGAUGAGUCUGCUUUUUGAGGGUGGUGUCCUCCAGGAGAUAAGAGGAAGUAGGUGAGGUGAUAGUGGUAUGGAAGUAUAAACAUGAGACACACUUAAGAAAUUAAGGUGUCAUGAGGAAAGCUGUGGUUACAGAAGAGACGAGGUCUAACACUUGUGUUGCCAUCUGUAUCUGGUGAGGGAGAGAGGAACUGGUUUUAUGGACUGCCGGUUCAGCAUGGAAAGACCGCAACAGCGGAACCACGCUUUGAGGAAUACACUGGUAAUGAAUGAUACCUGGUUGCUGUUUGGGGAAAAGAGCUCAGUGGUGGGAGAACGUACACACAUUGGAACUUGUGCUUUAAGCAGUCACUUGAAAACUAAUGGUGCUAUAUCACAGUAACAGCCUAUUUGCUGUAUUCGGCAAAUGGGCGCUCUUCUGCAGGGGAGUGAGGGGUCAUAAAUUGGUCGCCAAGUGAAUUGGAUUUUAAAGACAAAUCAUUAUGUCCAUAAGAUGCAAUCUGCCUUGAAGCAUGACUCUCAAAUGUGAUUGUCAGGAAUGCUUUAUAAAGGAAGAAAUCUGAGAAUGGCAUGAUACGUCAAAAAUUGAUAGAGCUACAGUUACUGCAUAAUUUCAAAAAGCACCAAAAUACAGGAAAAACUACCCUAUAUUCUGCAGCCAAAAAUGACAGCAUUGGAUGCCAGCAGCUCUCUUCCUUUAGAGAGUUGGAGGAAUUCCUGUAGCUCAUGGAAUAUACCUAUUUCUAAAUGACAAAUUACAUUAAAAGCCCAAUUUUCUGUCUAAGUAGUAUCAUGAAGUGCAAUACACUACCAGUAGUGGUGCCUAAAACAUCGGGAAUGUCAAAAAUAAGUAUCUGACUACUAAAAUGUACGCUAAGGAUCUGACACAGCUCCAGGAGUGUAUUGGCUCACUGAGCAUCUCCUAUGCUUUGUUAUUACUCAUAAGCUGUAACCAGCUACUUUGGCCAAAGGCUGCUCGUUCAAAGCAAGCAGCUGUGUAAAUCAGUCUGCUGAAUGUAUCAGAAUCUGCAAAAAUUUACUAUAGAACAGCUUUCCCGUCAUUGCUUUCAACAGGAUUUAUGAUUUUGGUUAAAUGUUACUGACAAGGGUAGGCAUUUCCAUGUGCCAUGUUUUGUACAUGUUCUUGAAUAAAGAUGAGGAUGUGAAAAACCUA